rnacentral:lncRNA from 1 species
UUUCUUUCCAGAUAAGACAGUGAUACAACAAUAUCACUGUCUGUGCAUUCCUCAAGGCUGAUAUUUGUCUCCAAGAGGCAUAUGAGAGGUGACAUCACCAAUGCUGGAAUUUAUUUUUGUGGAUCCAAAACUCCUUUUCAUUACAAAUAUGGAUUAGUGAUCAGUGAGAAAUCUUUGCACUGGGACUGUAUUUACCCUUGAAUUGUAGUUCUUUUAUUUAUCUUGUAUUCAUCCUUUGUACCAAGGGUACAAAAAUUGAUGUAAUGUUAUCUUUGGGUAAUUUGGUUUCCUCAGAACUCCUGGAGGUCCAAAGGAAGGUCCAAACCUGAUCCUGCAGGUUUCCCUGUUCACACCAGUGAGGGACUUGGAGUCUGUCCAGCGCUUCCAUGAACUCCGAGUGCAUCCUGCUGCUGCCCACAGGAAUUUUUGCUGUUUCUCUGCCAUGAGACAGAGUUUGGAGGCACUCGGGACCAUUGGACAAGCAGAGCAGCCAGGUAAACCUGUUGAAAAUAACAGCAAUUUAAUUGCUUACUCUGAAACCUAAUGGCUCUAAUUAAAAAUGUCAAUACUGUCAAAAAUUCAAUAACAAUAUCAAUUCCAAACGCAGGCAUUUGGAAAGAUAGCCGAAGUAUUAUUCUCAAAAAGAUGAUCAUAAAAUAAAAUUGCACUUCCUCAGGGCA